rnacentral:rRNA from 1 species
UACGUAGGGUGCAAGCGUUGUCCGGAAUUAUUGGGCGUAAAGAGCGUGUAGGCGGCUUGAUUAGUCUGCUGUGAAAGUCCAGGGCUCAACCCUGGAAUGCCGGUGGAUACUGUCAAGCUAGAGUCCGGAAGGGGCGAGUGGAAUUCCUGGUGUAGCGGUGAAAUGCGCAGAUAUCAGGAGGAACACCAAUGGCGAAGGCAGCACUCUGGGACGUGACUGACGCUGAGACGCGAAAGCGUGGGGAGCAAACAGG